CCUGUAUAGUGCAACAGCUCUUUCUCCUUUCACCAGCCAGAAGUUUUUAUUUCACCAGUGAUGGCGGCAGCAGCAGGCGUCUCCAAAAGCAGAGGACUGACUGGUGUCAGAAACACCAAAGUUGUAAUCAUCUUAUUGCUGCUGUCCCUGGUCUAUGCGUCAAAUUCACAGACAACUGAGGAAUAUUUGAAUAAAAUCAAGGCAGUCUCAAGAGAAGCUGAUGAAAAACUACAGUAUCUUCAAUUUACCCAGGAACUAAUGAAGACAUCAUCAUUUUCAGAGCAUUUUCCACCACUGGUGGAUUUAGUAAAUAACUUGAUUCACUUCCUUGAGAAAUCCAAGAUCCUGUUCAAAAGAAAGGAAGAUGACUUGUUAAAAAUGGGUGAAAAAGAAAGUGAAAAAAAAGAUGGAGAUCCUAAAACUCAAUGGAAUGAACUAUAAAUGUUUCUAACUUCUUUAAAAUAAAUGAUAGAUAUGAUUUAGAGUUUGGCAUCAUUGUUAUUACUAUUUUGAUUAAAGAGCUGGA